rnacentral:rRNA from 1 species
GAAUCAGAAUGUCGCGGUGAAUACGUUCCCGGGCCUUGUACACACCGCCCGUCACACCAUGAGAGCUGGUAACACCCGAAGUCCGUGAGGCAACCGUAAGGAGCCAGCGGCCGAAGGUGGGAUUAGUGAUUGGGGUGAAGUCGUAACAAGGUAGCCGUAGGAGAACCUGCGGCUGGAUCACCUCCUUUCUAAGGAGA